rnacentral:rRNA from 1 species
GGUUGAUCCUGCCAGUAGUCAUAUGCUUGUCUCAAAGAUUAAGCCAUGCAUGUCUAAGUAUAAACAUCUUUAUACAGUGAAACUGCGUACAGCUCAUUAUAUCAGUUAUGAUUUAUUUGAUGGUACCUUACUACAUGGAUACCCGUAGUAAUUCUAGAGCUAAUACAUGCGUACAAUCCCGACUACUCGCUGGAAGGGAUGUCUUUAUUAGAUUCAAACCCAAUGCAGUAGCAAUACUGGUCCACAUUGGUGACUCAUAGUAACGUGUCGAAUCGCAUGGCCUUGUGCUGGCG